rnacentral:rRNA from 1 species
UACGUAGGGGGCGAGCGUUGUCCGGAUUCAUUGGGCGUAAAGCGCUUUAAGGCGGUUCGCUAAGUCUGCUGUGAAAUCCCCGGGCUCAACCUGGGAAUGGCAGUGGAUACUGGCAAGCUAGAGUACGGUAGAGGGGGAUGGAAUUCCGCGUGUAGCAGUGAAAUGCGUAGAUAUGCGGAGGAACACCGAUGGCGAAGGCAAUCCCCUGGACCUGUACUGACGCUCAUGCACGAAAGCGUGGGAGC